GGGAGAACAAGGUGAGGCCGUGCUUGAGGUUUCAUGAGAUGCUUGAGAUGAGAAGGAAAUCCACUGGAGACCAUGAAGCAAAAAUCAAGUGGAAGCUGAACACCUGCACGAGUACAGGAAAAGAGCCACAGAAACAGACCCGGUGGGACUGCGACGCGCCCACAUCGGCCCGAGCGGCCUCGUCUUCAGUCGCCAGAUGCUUUGCGCAGCGGGCGUCAUUCUUUUCGG